rnacentral:rRNA from 1 species
UAACGAAUAUUCCGCAAUGCACGAAAGUGUGACGGAGCAAUACCGCGUGAAGGAUGAAGCCCCUAGGGGUGUAAACUUCUGUCAGAGUUCACUAACACAAUGAAGAGACUCAAAGGAAGGGCCGGCUAACUUCGUGCCAGCAGCCGCGGUAAUACGAAGGGCCCAAGCGUUGCGCGGAAUCACUGGGCUUAAAGGGUGCGCAGGCGGAUGGGUAAGUAUCGAGUGAAAUCCCACGGCUUAACCGUGGAAUGGCUUGGUAAACUACCUGUCUUGAGCCCGACAGAGGCUGUCAGAACGAUAGGUGGAGCGGUGAAAUGCGUAGAUAUCUAUCGGAAUGCCGAAGGUGAAGACAGGCAGCUGGGUCGGUGCUGACGCUCAGGCACGAAAGCAUGGGUAGCGAACGGGAUUAGAUACCCCCGUAGUCC